GCCGGGCGUGGUGGUGCACACCUGUGGUCCCAGCUACUCGGGAGGCUGAGGUAGGAGAAUUGCUUGAGCCCAGGAGGCAGAGGUCGCAGUGAGCCAAGAUUGUACCACUGCACUCCAACCUGGGCAACAGAGCAAGACCCUGUCUCAA
ensembl:misc_RNA Metazoa_SRP Metazoan signal recognition particle RNA